rnacentral:lncRNA from 1 species
GGUUUUUUGGGGGAGAUAGGAAGCUCUGUGAGAUGACAAAAUAGGUUGGUGUAUGUGAACACAUGAGGAGAUGGAUAAAACAGGGGUUGGAUCAUAACUUCUGUAUUUUAUGACAAUUUUUAUAUUUUAAUAUAAGUUAAACACAACUUUAGAAUGUGGAGAACAGAGGGCACAAUAUGAGAGACCCCAAACCUAGAGAUCCUGUAAGAGAUUCCUGCAAUAUUUCAAACAGAUGGAAGGGGUUGGUGCCAAAGUCACACCAGUGAGAAGGGGAGAAUGAGCUAUUGAGAUUUUUUGAGAUUUUGAGAUUCGAUGAUCCAUUUAGUAUGGUAUGUGAGGGAGGCAGGGUGAUUUAGGUUAUUUAGGACAAUGCAUUGACAUUUGUAAGGUUUAAAAUAUUGUCAGAGAUACUUUUGACUGGAUUAAUUUUGUAGAUGGAAAUGAUUAAAUUGGAUCCUGAAGAACAGGUAAAUUUCUAAAGCCUGACUUUGUGGAAAGGAGCAGGCACUUCAGUGACUGAGAUUCUUUUCAGCUCUACUUUUCAAUUUCUUCAAUUUAGAUAAAAGAAAAUUUACCCUAGUUUCAACAGCAAGAAGCAAGACUCUAAGAUAGCUUCUCAAAGUUUAAAUAUUUAUUAUGACAUUUCAAGAACUAAGGACAAUGUGUUUUUGAGUCAUCUCAGUUACAAAUGCAAAACUCAGAACAGUAUUUACACAAAUUUGGAGGAAAAUGCACCAACAUAGCAAGAUGGAAGGACAUAAAUUUCAUCUUUCCUGUCUUAGCAAGUAAAUUUAUAUUUAUCAAGGCCUUUUCUACUGUUCAAAAUCUUGUCAGAAAAAGUUUGCUGAGAAUCAGAGUAAAAAUUGAAGACUUGGAAUCGAGGGAAACUACUUUUUAGAAAAAGAAUAUAGAAGAGCCUGUUCAUAUAAUAAUGGGAAAUCUACACGAAGGAAGGAAGGUUGAUGAUCUGGAAAAAUAAAUAACAGAAGCAUAAACUUUUGGAAAAGAUGGGAAGAGGUGGAGAAUUUCUGGCAAAAUAUAACUUUUUCUGUUCUAAUGGAAAAGAAUAAUAAAUGAUGAUAAUUUACACAUUGUUUUUGCUAUGUGCUGCACCCUUUUCUGAUAUAUAUGUUUUUGUGUGUAUUAAUUUUAUUUUAAUAAUAUUUAAAGUAAUUUAUUAAUCUUUCUAACAACUUUUAAGAUUGGUAUUGUUAUCAGCAUUUUAUAGAGGGACACAAAAAUAUAAGCAACUUGCACAGGUCCCA